rnacentral:rRNA from 1 species
AAAGAACUAAAAAUCCGAAAAGGGAGAUUCACGUCUUCUCAUAUGUUAAAUAUAAUAUAUUUAAGGAUAAUUAAUAAUCUAAUACUUUUGUAUUAGUAUUAUUUAUUGCCUUUAUUUAUUAUAAAUAGUAAUGGUAGACCGCACUUCUCUCUUAGUAGGACGUCGCGACCCACUAGUUUAUAAUUUAAGAUCAUAUAUAUUAGUUUUGUUAUAAUGUAAAUUUAUUUUUUACAUUAUAACUCAAAGAUAUGUAUCUAAUUAAAUAAUUGGUGGUAUAAAACGAUAGUGUUUAGUCGCUUUUUUUAAAGCGUUUAAAUAAAUUUUUAUUUUUUAAUAUUAAUAAAUGACAACUUGUUUGCUUAUUUAUUAUAUAAUUAUAAAAAUUUAAUUUAAACCGACUUACAACACUAGUCGGCGGCGCUACAGUUUUAGUAACUUUUCCGACCCGUCUUGAAAC